AAUACUAUCUCCAUUGGUAUGAGGCCUUUUGGGGAGUCCAAAGCAAAGCUCGAGAGCUUUGACAAUAUCAAAUCCAUUAUUCUUAGUACUCAAGUGUUUGAACUUGUACAAUGUCAAUUUGAAGGAUUCAAAUUCAACAGGGUGAGGUUAUUUCCAACUGAUAUUGAUGAUUUUGUGCAAAAUACCAUGAAUUAUGUUAAUUUAGUAAGCCAUAUUGUGAAGUGCGUGGUAAGAAUUUAUAUUAAUUUUCCAUGUGAGGAGAGUGCUGCUAGCCCACAUUUCUAAUUCCUUGGUGUCCGUAAGAACUAUAUUAGAACCCAAAAGUAAAUCCUAUCCAUUUCCUUCUUGGAAGAUUUAACUUCGCUUCUCACCAGAUGUUCUGAAGCCUGAAUGUGUAGUUCGCCCUUCUUGAAUGAAUUAGGGAAGCUCCAUUUUUUUAGGGGAAGAAUCUCCUCUUUGACUCUUACAUAUGUUCUUAUGAGACAUCCACAAAAAGAAGUAAUGUCUUUGGUUGACAUUUAUUUGGGCCUUCUUUUGGAAGUUCUGGGAAGAAAGCAAUCAGCAAAUCUGUAGGGACAAGGAAUUUACUUCUGAUUGAUUUCUUGAUGCUAUGGUAUUUCUUAUGGCUUCUUGGUGUCAGUGCUCACUCAUUUUUCUUCACUAUAGCUUUUCCUCUUUACUAUCCAAUUAGAGAGGUUUUUCGUAACUCCCUUGGAUCAGGGUUAUUCUCUUCUUUUGUAAUUUCAUAUUAUCAAUGAAUUUAAAGGAAUUUUUGGAUAAGGCUUGACGUGCCACCCUUCAAGAAUGGAAAAGCUCUAUUAUAAAAAAACCUCAUUAAGGCUUUCUUUCGGAAUCUGUGGAAAGAAAGAAAUUUAGAGAAUAUUUAUAGAAAAGACACAGAGCUACACAAAACUGUUCGACAAUAUUGUUUACCAAGCUAUAUCUUGGUGUAAACUGUCUAAUAUUUUUACUUCCUAUAGUUAUACCUCCCUCGUUGCAAAUUGAGAAAGUCUUUUGUAAAUACUAUGGAUUAUACAUCCUUUUUAUAAAUUUCAAUCAUCAAUGAAAUUGUCUCUUAAAAGAGUCCUCAAUUUGUAAGCUCUCUCUUGUAACUAUACUCAGCCCCUUGCCUGUCCCCAAGCAAAUUACGUGGAUGUAAUGAUGGAUUUGACAGAGGGUCUCCCAAAAUCGUAUGGAUAUGUUGAGGACAAGGUGACUAAAUACAGACAUAUUCUCCCGGUGUUACUCUGUUUGCCAAAGAAAUUGUGCGCUGCCAUUGGUUUCCCAGACCCAUUGUUUCCAACAGGGAAAAGGAGUUUGUCAGCUACUUUUUAAUUGAAUAAUUCCGUUUACAAGACACUCAACUGCAGUAAAGUAUGACGUCCACCCACAGAUAGAUGGGCAACCUAAAAUUAUGAACAAAUGUCUUGAAGCCUAUCUGCAUUGCUUCUGCUAUGAGAAACCAGAGCAGUGGAGUUUUAGGCUACCACGUGCUGAAUUUUGGUACGAUACAAUCCCAUUGUAGGCAGUUCAUGGCUGUUCACCAUUUCUUUGGUUUUUAUGGUGGAUGAGACUACAGAUGACAAAGUUAAGUCGCACUUAAAGAUGUUCAUUUAAUUCGUGGGAAAUCCUCAUUUAGAUGGGGAGAGAGCGGGAAGAUAAUCUUCUCUAUUAGCUAAAUGGGGUUAGGGCGGGGAUUAUUCCCAUCCCCCGCCUACCUUGCUUCUUAUUUAUAUAUAUAUACAUACAUACAUACAAGUUCCCUGCGAAAAUAAAUGGGGAAGUUUGUGUGGAAGGAAAUUGAAAUAGGAGACAGGGAUGAAGAAGACUUCCUUGUUCCCGACCCACCUUAUGGACACAAUACGUUCUCUGUUCUUAAGCUCCAUUCGACGAUAGAACAAGAGUGAAUGAAAACAUUUGUUGAUUUGCUUCACCAUGAAGUGAACUACGAAGUGGAAGUCUUAGUAUUUCUAGAAAUCUGCCCUAUUGCUAGCGUUCUUUAGCCACCAAAUGCAAUGAAAGGCUUAAUCCAACUUCCUAAGCCCCUUUAAUCUACUGCGAAGGGUUGAGGGUGUUGCUUAUAAGUUGGACAUUCCUCCACUUGAUCACGUCAUGUUUGUAGCUCAAACGUUCCCUUGGGGCUGGGGUCAGUGCUCAGGCUUCCCCUCUUCGCAAAGUCGAGUGGUCGUUAAACCACCCAAGGUCUUUUGUGUGUGGAGGAACACCGAGACUGCUGGUUUGGAGAUUCUGUUUCGCUAGAAGGCUCUUGAAUUUAAAGGCAUGUCGAAUUGAUAUCAACUGCAAGCAAUUCCCAGAUACCUUAGGGACAAGGUGUCUUUUGGUCUGGAGCAAAGGUUAAACCCCUAAUUACCAACGUUUACACAAGGAGUAAUAAGGGAAGGGCAAAAUGAGCCAGCCUUCUCGAAUGGGCUAUGUGCAAUUUUGUAUUGUGCGUUCAGCUCUAAUCUUCUGUAGGAAUGUGCAAUUUUGUAUUGUGUAUUCAGUCCUUAGUUUCUAUAUUUUAGUGUAAUUUUUUUACCUCUGUCUGGAACAUUGAAUUCCAUGUGGUCAACUUUAGUUUACUGCCAGUACGCUCUAUUGCUUGACAAAUUGUAAGAAACCCUUGUUUGUGCUCUUGCCUCCUACUUUCAUAUAUGUGAAAUAUGUGAAUGAUUUAGUA